GAGGGUAUAGCUCAGUGGUAAAUUGUGUGCUUAGCAUGCACAAGGUCCUAGGUUUAAUCCCUAGUACCUCCA
rfam:Camelus ferus unplaced genomic scaffold scaffold740, whole genome shotgun sequence.